GAUGAUGGUGAUGAUGGUGAUGAUGAUGAUGAUGGUGAUGAUGAUGAUGAUGAUGAUGAUGAUGAUGAUGAUGAUGAUGAUGAUGAUGGUGAUGAUGAUGAUGAUGAUGAUGAUGGUGAUGAUGGUGAUGAUGGUGGUGAUGGUGGUGAUGGUGGUGAUGGUGAUGAUGAUGGUGAUGAUGGUGAUGAUGAUGGUGAUGAUGAUGGUGAUGAUGAUGGUGAUGAUGAUGGUGAUGAUGGUGAUGAUGAUGAUGAUGGUGAUGAUGGUGAUGAUGAUGGUGAUGAUGAUGGUGAUGAUGAUGAUGAUGAUGAUAGUGAUGAUGAUGAUGAUGAUGGUGAUGAUGGUGAUGGUGAUGAUGGUGAUGAUGGUGAUGAUGGUGAUGAUAAUGAUGUUGCCUGACUCACUCUCAUUUUUCUCUAGAAGAAGUCGAGGACAUCGAGCCAGGGAAAGAGAAUGUUGCCAUGACAGUGGAAAAUGUAGAAAACAAAGACACUCAGCAUGUCAAAGAUGAUGCGACAUGGUUUUGAGCCAUUUAAACUGAGACAAAAUAUUUUUACCCACAUCCGCAAAAACUCGCAAGAUUGUACUCUCGUAUAUUUAGACUUAUUGCAAUGUUGUUUCAACAUUGUCGUUUGCUUGUUUGCACUUCACUGUCCCAGUAGAUAUACCAAUUUUUUCUACAUUUUUGCACCAAAGUUGUCACAAGUUAUUCGCACUACUGGGUCUUUUAAAAAGCUAUUUUACAUGUUUUCUAUAAAAUUGUAUGAAGUGUUUUGCUUUUAUUAAAUGUCGCU
rnacentral:lncRNA from 1 species